rnacentral:tRNA from 1 species
UACACUUUAGUAUAAGAUGAACAAAAGUUUUUGAUACUUUAGGAAAUAGUUUGAGCCUGUUAAGUGUAA